AACUUGUCAUGGCCACCAUUGUUCCUCGAAAUAUCUGGGGCUGAAAUUUUCCUUCAAAGUAAUUAUCACAGUGUCAAUUCGGUCAAGUUCAAAUUAUUACCUAACACUAAAACCCCCACUGCACGAAGCAGGAAAACUCAUCCGAUCUACCGCCCGGCGAAUACUACUGCAGCCAAUCAAAGCCUCACACAUGGCUGCCCAAAUUGGUGAUUCUACCGCUGAUCGCAUUUCUCGGAUUUCCUCUUCCAUCCGGGUCAUACCCGACUUCCCCAAACCCGGAAUUAUGUUUCAGGAUAUAACGACUUUGCUUCUUGAUCCCAAGGCAUUUAAGUACACGAUCGAUUUGUUUGUUGAGAGAUACACGGGCCAAAAUAUUAGUGUUGUUGCAGGCGUCGAGGCUAGAGGUUUUAUAUUUGGACCUCCAAUUGCGUUGGCUAUCGGGGCCAAAUUUGUUCCCAUGAGAAAGCCUAAGAAGUUACCUGGGGAGGUUAUCUCAGAAGAGUACUCUUUGGAGUAUGGAACAGACAAAAUGGAGAUGCAUGUAGGGGCUGUGCAAGCUGGAGAGCGUGCACUUGUAGUGGAUGAUCUCAUUGCAACUGGGGGGACCUUGAGUGCUGCUAUCCGCCUACUUGAGCGAGUUGGGGUCGAUGUGGUUGAGUGUGCUUGUGUUAUCGAAUUGCCAGAACUUAAGUGACCUUGAUAACAACAAUGGCAAGACUGUGUAGUUUACAAUGAACACCUCAUUAUCUAGGCCGGAAUCGUCUAGGAGACAAGCCACUGUUUGUUCUUGUGAGUGAAGUUGAUACUGUUGUGAAACUUGAUAAUGAGAUUUGAAGGAAGAAAAUUCGAAUUCAUGCCAACGAUAAAUACUGGUUUCUGGCUAUCAUUGUUUAGUAUUUGCUUAUUUGCUUCAACUAGUGCUUUGUGCGGGAUAUUAAUGAAAACUACUUGCAUUUUGUGUGUAAAGAUGGGCUGCUUGUAAUUGGGGUGAAUAUGUCAAAACCCAGCGUUGUAUUGCCAGA